rnacentral:lncRNA from 1 species
CAGAACCAGGGGCCUGCAGGGGACAAAGGGGUUCGCAGGAAGGCAUGAGACAGCAGGAGGUCUCCUCCCCCAGGGUGUGUGGCUGGGUGGGGAGGGGUCCCAUCUGGAAAUCAAGGGCGCAAUGGAUCUAGGGUGACCAGCCCAUCCUGGCCCGCCUGAGACUUUUCCCUUUUUAGCACUAAAAGUGCCAGGGCCUUGCCUGGUGGCUCAGACCUGUAAUGCCAGCACAUUGGGAGGCUGACACCGGAGAAUCACCUGAGCCAGGAGAUUGAGCCCAGCCUGGGCAAUAUAGUGAGACUCCAUCUCUACGAAAUAAUAAAAUGAAUUACUAGCAAGGCGUGGUGGCAUGUGCCUGUGGUCCCAGCUACCAGGGAGGCUGAGGUGGGAGGAUCGCUUGAGCCCAGUAUUUUGAGGCUGCAGUGAGCCAUGAUCACACCACUGCACUGCGGCCCAGGCAACAGAGCAAGACCCUGUCUCAAAGAAGAAAAAAGUUCCACUUCCAGGGUAAGCCCACAGCCCCAGUGGGUCACUGGAAGUGGGCAGGAAACCAACAUAUAUGAGGCCAAGUGAAAUGACUCACCUUUGAAGAAGAAAGUUUCCCCUCGGAUGUUGGCGAUGGCGUCAAAAUUGCCCUCACAUCGAUCAGGGAUGGGGAAGGAUGGGCUGGGAGGAAAGGAGAGGUGAGUAGAGAGGGGGGUUUGUUUUCUCCAAGGCAGGGACCCCCACCAUCCCCAUCUCAGAGGACACUGAGGCUGGGCAGCUGGUCACCCAAGGUCACCGAGUUGGUGGGGGACUCACCUGUGUGUGGGCGAGGCCGGGGGCUGGGGCGGAGGAGCCAGGGGUUUCCUUGUGGGCUUGUCAUAUGGGGUUUGGGGCGCCUUCCCUGUGAGGAAAGAGGCAGGUGUGCGUCCCCUGGCCCUGCUGCAGAGGACGCUGGAUGGGGCAAUGACGGUUUCGCCGGCAGGUCCCUCUCCCCCUACCAUAGAGUUGCUGCAGGCCAUCGCGGUCAUCCUGAGACAGGCGGUACUUGUCAGGGUCGCCCACCGGACCCUGGUAGAAGGGCCUCAUAAUGGAGUUGGGGGCUGAGGAGUGGCCCAGGCCCAGGGCGUGGCCAAACUCAUGGACAGCCACGGCAAACAGGUCGGUCCCCUCGCCGUCUGCAGGAGAGAGUGGGUGAGAGCUGCGGCCGCCCCUGCAUGGGGAAAGGGGCCACAGGAAGGCCCUGCGAGUGCAGCUGGGGCCAACAGGAACAGCAGGACACCCUCCAGAGGUGGCCCCAGCCUCCUCUGCCCAGCCCUUGCUGAACUCUCCAUCAUCCCUGUCUCCAGUCACCCAGUCAGCAUGGCUGUGAUGGACACUGGACCACAGGGCUGAAAAGAUCCAGAGAACACACAGAGGAAUAGGCCACCUUACACACAGAUGGGGCCCCUCCUCUGGGAAGGGAGCACUUUGUGCACAGAAGUUUGAGGGGGAGGAGCUGGGUGUGGUGGCUCAUGCCUGUAAACUCAGCACUUUUGGAGUCCCAGGUGGGAGGAUCGCUUGAGCCCAAGAGUUCAAGACUGGCCUGGACAACAUAAGGAGAUCCCCAUCUCUACAAAAAAAUUUUAAAAAUUGGCCAGGAGUGGUGGCGCAUGCCUGUGGUCCCAGCUACUCAGGUCCCAGGCUGAGGCAGGGAGGCAGGAGAAUCGCUGGAGCCCGGGAGGUGGAGGCUGCAGUGAUGCAUGACCAUGUCACUGCACUCCAGCCUGGAGGACAGAACAAGGCCCCGUCUCAAAAAAAGUAAAAAGAAAAAAAAAAGAAAAAGAAAAUAAAAGAAACUUAAGAGGGCGGUGGGGUGAGGGCAGGAGCCUACAAGGUGCGUGCCAUUCUCUUCAGGCAGCCCCAGCCCUGGGAGCAUCCCCUCCUCCCAGCUACAGUCUAUAGUCAGCGACCCCCACCCGUCUCCCCCUUGCCACCCCCAUCUGCUGGGGAUGUAGGUCCAUGUCCUUGACCCAAGACCUUCCUUCAUUCCUGCGCCCAUCCCUCCUCAAGCCAUAUCCCUUAUAUCCCUUGAGUCCUCCAUCCCCCCUCCCCCAUCUCCCUGUCCACAGCCUCUGCCCCUCCUCUCCCUACCCUGUACCACCCCAACCCCAGGUCUUCCUCCAUCUCCUUGGGAACACAGAGCUCCUCUAGCAGGCACUCUCAGAACACAGCCUGCCAGCCCCAGCACCCGGCCUUGCUCCCAGCCUCUUCCCACCACAGCAGCCUCUUCCCUCUGUAUUCAGCUCAGGCGCUCAGGACUGCCAGGACCCAGAGGAUUCACACGACAGCCCCGGCUGAAGCCCAGCUCCUCAUCAACCGGUGAGCCGCCUGCCAGCUCCUGCUCCAGCUGCUGAGAAGCCUGAAGAGACCAAGACAGAGACACAGCCCCGCAGCACCACAGGGAGGCCCCAGUUACCCCAUGCGGAUGAGUUUCAUGGCCAUCUCUAACUAAGGACAGGACAUCGAUGUCAUCUGUAACUUCCAGUGCACUGGGGCACACAGCUGCAUCUCCCCAUGCUCACCUCCUGCCUCUUGCUCUGCCCAGUGUGAGGACUCAGCCUGGAUCACCUCCUCCAGGACAAGAACAACCUACCAUCAUCUGUCCGUCCAAUCUACCCACCCAUCCAUCUCUGCCUCUGGGCAUGCAUCCGUCCGUCCAUCCAUCCCCGCCUCUGUGCAUGCAUCUGUCCAUCCAUCCCCGCCUCUGUGCAUGCAUCUGUCCAUUCAUCCCCGCCUCUGUGCAUGCAUCUGUCCAUUCAUCCCCGCCUCUGUGCAUGCAUCUGUCCAUUCAUCCCCACCUCUGUGCAUGCAUCUGUCCGUCCAUCCAUCCCUGCCUCUGUGCAUGCAUCUGUCCAUCCAUCCCCGCCUCUGUGCAUGCAUCUGUCCAUCCAUCCAUCCCUGCCUCUGUGCAUGCAUCUGUCCAUCCAUCCAUCCCUGCCUCUGUGCAUGCAUCUGUCCAUUCAUCCCUGCCUCUGUGCAUGCAUCUCUCCAUCCAUCCAUCCCUGCCUCUGUGCAUGCAUCUGUCCGUCCAUCCAUCCCUGCCUCUGUGCAUGCAUCUGUCCGUCCAUUCAUCCCUGCCUCUGUGCAUGCAUCUGUCCAUUCAUCCAUCCCUGACUCUGUGCAUGCAUCUGUCCAUCCAUCCAUCCUUGCCUCUAUGCAUGCAUCUGUCCGUGCAUCCAUACCUGCCUCUGUGCAUGCAUCUGUCAGUCUAUCAAUCCCCGAUCCCUUCUUUGUAAUGGUGUUGAGUGCUCACAACUCCCUCAUCCUAAGACGCUCGUUGGAUCCAUUCCCUCCCGUCACCCCAUGCUGCUCUCUGCCCUCCCUUCCCGGUCAAGUUCUCCAGCCAGUGGUCUCAACUCAAUCUUCACUUCCCCCGCUCCUCUCACACCUAUCCCCACUGCAUUCUAAAUUCUUCCCCAACGCGCUGGGCCUACAGGCACUAAAAAGGUCACUUUGUCCCUGGAUGACCAAACACAGGCCAAUGUAACUUACUGGGCUUGUUUUGCCCCAGCCACAGCUGACCACUUCCUCCUUCACUCUUGUUGUUGAUCACCUUUGGGCUUAGUCUUUCUCCAUCUCUGUUGAGUCCUUCUCCCCUGCCACCUACUCCUUCAUGCUGGGGUUCUCUGUAGCUCUGUACCUGACAGUCACGUUC